rnacentral:tRNA from 1 species
UUCCUCGUGGCCCAAUGGUCACGGCGUCUGGCUUCGAACCAGAAGAUUCCAGGUUCAAGUCCUGGCGGGGAAGCCA